rnacentral:rRNA from 1 species
GUAUAAGCAAUUAUACAGCGAAACUGCGAAUGGCUCAUUAUAUAAGUUAUCGUUUAUUUGAUAGUACUUUACUACUUGGAUAACCGUGGUAAUUCUAGAGCUAAUACAUGCUAAAAAUCCCGACUUCGGAAGGGAUGUAUUUAUUAGAUUAAAAACCAAUGCCCUUUGGGCUCCUUGGUGAAUCAUGAUAACUUCUCGAAUCGCAUGGCCUUGCGCCGGCGAUGGUUCAUUCAAAUUUCUUCCCUAUCAACUUUCGAUGUUUGGGUAUUGGCCAAACAUGGUCGCAACGGGUAACGGAGGGUUAGGGCUCGACCCCGGAGAAGGAGCCUGAGAAACGGCUACUACAUCCAAGGAAGGCAGCAGGCGCGCAAAUUACCCAAUCCCGACUCGGGGAGGUAGUGACAAUAAAUACUGAUACGAGGCUCUUUUGGGCCUUGUAAUUGGAAUGAGUACAAUUUAAAUCUCUUAACGAGGAACAAUUGGAGGGCAAGUCUGGUGCCAGCAGCCGCGGUAAUUCCAGCUCCAAUAGCGUAUAUUAAAGUUGUUGUGGUUAAAAAGCUCGUAGUUGAACCUUGGGCCUGGCUGGCCGGUCCGCCUCACCGCGUGUACUGGUCCGGCCGGGCCUUUCCCUCUGUGGAACCUCAUGCCCUUCACUGGGUGUGACGGGGAAGCAGGACUUUUACUGUGAAAAAAUUAGAGUGCUCCAAGCAGGCCUAUGCUCGAAUACAUUAGCAUGGAAUAAUGAAAUAGGACGUGCGGUUCUAUUUUGUUGGUUUCUAGGACCGCCGUAAUGAUUAAUAGGGACAGUCGGGGGCAUCAGUAUUCAAUUGUCAGAGGUGAAAUUCUUGGAUUUAUUGAAGACUAACUACUGCGAAAGCAUUUGCCAAGGAUGUUUUCAUUAAUCAGGAACGAAAGUUAGGGGAUCGAAGACGAUCAGAUACCGUCGUAGUCUUAACCAUAAACUAUGCCGACUAGGGAUCGGACGAUGUUAUUUUUUGACUCGUUCGGCACCUUACGAGAAAUCAAAGUGUUUGGGCUCCAGGGGGAGUAUGGUCGCA